UCUCUCUCAGGAUGGCACCUGGGGAGUUUCCAGUACUCUACCAGUCUCAGCUGCGGGAGGGAGAGUCAAGCAGAGGCCUAUCCAUUCCAUUCCUAGCUUGGGCAGUGGCUAGUGAGUGGAAGGCAACUGGCUACAAGU